rnacentral:rRNA from 1 species
UACGUAGGGGGCAAGCGUUGUCCGGAAUCAUUGGGCGUAAAGCGCGCGUAGGCGGCCCGGUAAGUCCGUUGUGAAAGUCAAAGGCUCAACCUUUGAACGCCGAUGGAUACUGCCGGGCUAGAGUCCGGAAGAGGCGAGUGGAAUUCCUGGUGUAGCGGUGGAAUGCGCAGAUAUCGGGAGGAACACCAAUAGCGAAGGCAGCUCGCUGGGACGGUACUGACGCUGAGGCGCGAAAGCGUGGGGAGCGAACAGG